rnacentral:misc_RNA from 1 species
GAUGAAGAACGUAGCGAAAUGCGAUAAGUAAUGUGAAUUGCAGAAUUCAGUGAAUCAUCGAAUCUUUGAACGCACAUUGCGCCCGCCAGUAUUCUGGCGGGCAUGCCUGUUCGAGCGUCAUUUCAACCCUCAAGCCCCGGCUUGGUGUUGGGGAUCGGCACAAGGACGCCCCCGGGCGACCCGCCGUCCCCUAAAUUCAGUGGCGGUCCCGCCGCAGCCACCUCUGCGUAGUAGCUUGCACACUCGCACCGGAGAGCGGCGCGGCCACGCCGUAAAACCCCCCGACCACGGAGCCCCGGCUCCUGAACGUUGACCUCGGAUCAGGUAGGAAUACCCGCUGAACUUAAGCAUAUCAAUAAGCGGAGGA